AGGCCGGUAACUCAGCGGGAGAGUGCCAUCCUCACACGGUGGAAGUCAAGGGUUCAAAUCCCUUCCGGCCUACCA
rnacentral:tRNA from 1 species